UUCUUGAAGACUCCAUUGUUUCAUUUCUUUGUUCCAACUUCCAACAAUGGAGAAUUUCCAGAAGACUUCUCCUCAUUGUCCAAACUUUUCUUUCAUCCAAACUUAAAUUCAAGGCCUACACAUUAACUUCAUCUUCAUAUCUGGGUGUGCCUUCUUAGAAGACAACCAAUGAGGAUCUUGAGUUGGCCUUGGAAGUUGGAAUCAAACAACUCAAGUAUGCAUGUAAGAUAUUGGCUUUCAAAACUCCAUCUCAAGUACCAUGUGCCUGAGGCAUACAAAGCGAGGUACACAACUAUAGGUAGAGUUAGAAGUGAAGGACAACCAAUGACAAGGUUGUAAAUAUGCUCAUUUUCAAGGGUAAUGUAUAAUCGUCCUACUUAGAUUUUUUAGCAAACCACAUACUUUUUCUUUCUUUUCCCUUUUAGAGCUUUCUCUCUCUUUCCCCUCACUUCUAUAUUAAAUAAGAUGACUCAAGCAAAGAAAUAGGCAUAGCGCUCUUCUUCUCCAAUCUCCAUGAUGCUCGAGUUGGAUAAUUUUUGGUAUUUACUAUCAAGAUGAGCUCGGAAGCCUAUGCACUAGCUAGAUUAGGAUAAAUUUUUUGAAAAUUUUAAGGGAUAUGGCUGAGAUGUUUGACAAAUAUUCAAAGAGAAAAGAUAGAUUCCAUCACCAGUAAUCCUCGGGUUUGGUAAGCUUUUAACAUUCUUUCACUAUAUUUAUCUAUUUAUUCCAAUUUUUAUCAUUUCCAUUUCCUUUUGUAUAAACUGAACUUCAGUCUCUGAAAUAAGUGUAUCUAUCUUCUUCUAUUUCAAUAUUCUAUUUAGUAGUAGUUGUUAUCCUUUUGGGUAUAUGUAUGUGUUUGUUUAUAGAAGUUAGCACUUCCUUCCAUUUGUCCCCACAAUCAAAUAACAUACCUUUUUGAAGGUCCCAAUUCCAGUGGAGUUAUAGAAAACACUAUAGGUAAAAAAAAUCAUCUGCUUAAAGUUGUUGGGUAGAAUUAUCAUAUACUUGUGUUGGUGCAUUGUCGAGGUUAGUGUAAGGUGGCUUGGACACUGACAAUUGGAGAACACUGUGGAGAGUUCUGUCAUAUCUUCCAACUCCGCAGGCAUUCAGAUUUCUCAUAAGAAUAAUAUUACGUGACGUAUUGCUUUUGUUCUAAGCUACAAUCUUAUCCCUACCUAUUAAAGAAUGAGAGGAUGGUCAGACCAAUAAAGUGUCUAGCAACUGGAUAUGUAGGAUGAGGCAACGCUUUGGAUCCUCCCUACUUGCAGAAUAAAUGGAUCAGACAUGGGCUUCAUUCUCUAUUUUCGAGCAGGGGUGAAAGUCAUAAGAGAAGAUUACCCUCUUGGUAAGAAAAACGGGAGAAAAGUGUUGUCAUCUAUCUUGAUCAAUUUGUCGAGGCAUUAGAAAUCCAGUCUGGCUCAAGGAAUUAUUCUCGCUAUUCAGCCCAUUGUUCUGUCAACAAGAUCAUAUUUGACAAUUUUCCAUUCCUUCCCCGCCGAGCCUUCUCUCUUUGCCAUUCAAUUCUUCUGCCUUUCAAAUAAGUGAUUGCGCCCGGAGUGUAUUUUCUUUUUGUAACAACUUCAUUGACCUACUGCACUAAGAGACUAAGCGUGCAAUCACUUGUUCGAACAUAUUCAGUUCCUAUACACUUAAGUGGUUUGAUCAUUCUUCUCAUCUUCAUUUUUUAUUUGUAGCGAGAUUUAAUAAAGUAUGCAUAUGUAAUUAUCUAUUGAAGGAUAUUUGACGUUCACCACUUGUUUAAAAAAUGGAAAUUAUAUUUUGUUUACAUUGUUAAGUAAAAUUUGAAUUUUCUGCAUUCUUUUUAAACUCCUUGAAUGUUUAAAAUUGUACAAUAGACUUGGUCUUGUCACAUUGCCUCAUUGGUGAAUGGUACCACUUCUCUUGUUAACAUGUAUUGAGCUUUUUGCCAUUCCUCGUGUAUUUCUUUUUAUUUGCUUAUGUUUUUGUUUCGCUUAUGAUUUUAAAGAUUUCAUUUUUCCCAACAUUUGCAUAAAUAACUAACUUAAUUGUCUUAUUGGCGAACUCUCUUUGUUUUACACCUCUAGCUUUUAACUGCAAGUUACAGAAAGGGAUACCGACCAGUUUAGACUCAAUGAACACAGAGGCUGAUCAAGGUAAUGUAUCUCAAAUUUUCCUCCUCCUAACAGUCCUUAUUGAAAAGAAAAAAAAACUAAUCUGAAGACUAUUUACUGUUGAAAUAGAACUUGCGAAUUUUGUUUAAAAUUUGUGUAUACUCUCUCUGAUUGUAAAACUUCUUUUGACAAUGGUGAUGGACUGAAUGAUCUUAUCUCCUUAAUUUUUUGCCCUCUAUGUAUCUCCAGAGUGUUGCAUCCAUUCUUUUAUACGAACUUAUUUUGUUAUCAGUUAAGCGUGAUAAUUGAAACAUUUAGCUUUAGCCGAUAAUAGUUUGUUGGUUUUAAUUUGAAAAUUCCAAGAGAAGUAGGUAUUGCCACGAUAAUAGAGAAAUUGAUAGUAUAGAAGCAACUAGGUUCUUUUGUUUUUUAGUUAUAACACAC